ensembl:lncRNA
GCAAACCUUGUUGAGGUCUGAGCCUUUUUUCCCCCAGAAUGAUUUCAGUACACUCUGAGGUUCAUGGGCCUUUCCCUAGUGGGACUGAGGCAUCCAUCCACCAGGAAGAAAUCACAUCGUUACCACUGGGGGGAACUGAGAAGGAACAAGAUGGAAGAAAGGUACAUCUUCUCUCAUUUCUGCUGCUAAGUCACUUCAGUCAUGUCCGACUCUGCGCGACCCCAUAGACGGCAGCCCACCAGGCUCCCCCGUCCCUGGGAUUCUCCAGGCAAGAACACUGGAGUGGGUUGCCAUUUCCUUCUCCAAUGCAUGAAAGCGAAAAGUGAAAGUGAUGUCACUCAGUCAUGUCCGACUCUUAGCAACCACGUGGACUGCAGCCUACCAGGCUCCUCCAUCCAUAGGAUUUUCCAGGCAAGUGUACUGGAGUGGGGUGUCAUUGCCUUCUCCAUUUCUAAAGAAUAGCAAAUAAUUCCCAACCUUUUUGGCACCAGGGACUGGUUUCAUGGAAGACAAUUUUUCCAUGGACCUUGGGAGGGAGGGGGAUGGUUUCAG